rnacentral:rRNA from 1 species
AGUGAACGCUGGCGGUGGGCCUAACACAUGCAAGUCGAACGGCAGCACAGUAAGAGCUUGCUCUUACGGGUGGCGAGUGGCGGACGGGUGAGGAAUACAUCGGAAUCUACUUUUUCGUGGGGGAUAACGUAGGGAAACUUACGCUAAUACCGCAUACGACCUACGGGUGAAAGCAGGGGAUCUUCGGACCUUGCGCGAUUGAAUGAGCCGAUGUCGGAUUAGCUAGUUGGCGGGGUAAAGGCCCACCAAGGCGACGAUCCGUAGCUGGUCUGAGAGGAUGAUCAGCCACACUGGAACUGAGACACGGUCCAGACUCCUACGGGAGGCAGCAGUGGGGAAUAUUGGACAAUGGGCGCAGGCCUGAUCCAGCCAUACCGCGUGGGUGAAGAAGGCCUUCGGGUUGUAAAGCCCUUUUGUUGGGAAAGAAAAGCAGCAGGUUAAUACCCCGCUGUUCUGACGGUACCCAAAGAAUAAGCACCGGCUAACUUCGUG